GGGAGAACUUUGUGUUGUAAGGUAAUUUUGUUACCUUAAACGUUUUCUUAACUUUUAUGUCUCUUAGCCGCUCUUCUGCUUCUCCAUCCUUUUUAUAUCUCCUAGCUACAUCUGGUAGUUCUUCUGACCUAUCUUCUAAGUCUCACGGUGUCUCUUCAGCUGGGUCUAAUCUGCAGUUAAAUCCAUCUGUUGCAUUCUUAAUUUCAGUUACUGAAUUUCAGUUCUAGAAUUUUUAGCUCUUUUUCAGAUCUUUAAUGUUACUUUAUAUAGUCCUGGUUCCUUGUUCUGAAAAUUUUAAGCCCAAUUUCUAUCACCAUGAGCACAGUUAUGUACUGUAUCAUUGUCUUACAUUCUGUGUCUGGUAAUUUUUCCAUCUGGGAUAUGUCUGUUUCUUCUGUUUGGUGUUUGUCCUAAUUCUCAUGUUGGUUUGUAUUUAUGUCAUUGUAUCUCCUCGUGUGCCUUGUUAUCUUUGAAUGUGUGUUAGAUGUGGUUUUGAAAAAAAAUAUUUGUAUAAAUACCAUAUUUCAUCAAUUAAGUGCAUUUUUUUUCACAUUUUAAUCUCUGAAAUUCAGAUGUAAUUUACAGUUGAUCGACAUGUAUGUUUACAGUUGGUAGCAUUUUCCCCUUUUUCAUUGGCUCAUACCUAAAAAAAAAUAGAGCAUCAUAUAAUUAGCAGUACUGAAGGUUGAUGAAAUGAAGUAAUCUGAGGCUUUGAAUGAUACUAAACAUGACAAGAGUUCUAGAGAGCCUUUUAAACAACCUCUGCCGGCUUUCCGGGUAUCAGCAAUCCCAGAUCAAUUUGGGCACUUGAGAUUUUCUAGGGCAUUCAGAUGACUGGAAGUUUACUUUUUGUUUUCUCUUACUUGUAGGGCUUAGUCACGCCCAACCACAGGCUUGUCAGGCUUUAACCUUGCGGAUGCUCUGGGUCCCUGACCCUGUGAGGCUGUGAAGGUGAUGCUCAGCUUUCCAGUUCUCUCUUCCUGCUUCACAGAUUCUCCCCAACUCGCAUCUGUUUGAUGCAUCAGAAGCAUAAAGCACAGGUGAGAGGUCUCACCAUCAUCUUUCCCUAACGGAGGAGGAAGGAGGCUCAGCAAGAUCAAGUGGACUGCUCAAGGUGACAGAGCAAGCACAAGGCGGUGCUUGGCUCAGAGCUCAAGUAUUUCUGACAGUUGACCCCCUCCUGGCCUCGCAUUCCUGAUUUCAUGGAGAUUUUGGAGCAUGUGGUUAAACUCGGGAGAGGUGGUUUGACUCCAGGGCCACAGGGCUCCAAAUGAGCACCUCGUGAGAGGCUGAGGUGGAGUCUCCUCUACGAAGAAGGACAAGCUUGGUUUCCUGAUGCCACACUGGUGAGAAGUGAAUUAAAACAGCUCAUUUUCAAAUGAAGCCAAGUGGACAGAAGUUAUAGAGGCUUUGUCUCCAAGCAAGCUGGGAAUUACUGAUGGAGCGAAGGGAGAAGAGCUGAUUGCAUGAGAGGAAGGAAUUGUCAUGCCUUUUGUUCAGUUCCUAACUCUGGAAGGAGCUGACUUAGAAUCACUGGAUGUUAGAACUCAAAAAAGGAACCCUGGAAACUGGGUAGUUCAACUUUUCAUCAAAUGCAGGACCCACAGUGGCUCUGGCAGCAGGCGGAGAGGGAAGAAAGACCCUUGCUUCCAGAAAAGCGCUGGUUUCGAGCAGUGGAGGAGAUAGAUGGAAGUAACCAGAGGGAUGGAUCAGGUUGGCAGCUCAGACGCUCCCAGGAGGAGGACCGCUCUGGGGACUGGCACCUCUGAACAAUGGCUCUCAGUCCUGUAUUUCCUGUAUUUCUGUCAGUCAUCUCCCAGGCACGCUGUCCUCUUUCCUUGCUCAGCCAUGUUCUUGUCUUUCUCUGAAGCAAUUAAAAAAAAAUUAUAUUCUGAAACAGUCUUGAGAAAUUGUGUUACUCCCCUUGCUGGCCUGACAAAGCUAUCAAGCUCUGACUGCCAUCUUUGAUGGUUUGGCAGAUAAUUUUCCAAUCUGGUGUUACAAAGGCCUAGCUCUAUUUGAUCAAGUAAUAAGAAGCCAUGUAAUGAGUUCUUAUAACUUCUGA
ensembl:lncRNA